UGAGACGGGCUUUAGGAAUGAACAUUCAA
rnacentral:piRNA from 1 species